GCCAGCAUGGUGUAUUGGUUUGAAUGUUGGUCUAUGGCUCAGGAGACUAGGGUUCGAUUCCCUGCUCAGGCA